GACUCGGACCUAUGUGGUCAGAACGCCCAAAUCCUGUCAGGACCGGAAGGUAGCAGCAGUACGGGAUGCUUUUGACAGGCGUAGACUCCGGGUCACUU
rnacentral:SRP_RNA from 20 species